AGAGUUUGAUCAUGGCUCAGAUUGAACGCUGGCGGCAUGCUUUACACAUGCAAGUCGAACGGCAGCGCGGGGCAACCUGGCGGCGAGUGGCGAACGGGUGAGUAAUACAUCGGAACGUACCCAGAAGUGGGGGAUAACGUAGCGAAAGUUACGCUAAUACCGCAUACGUUCUACGGAAGAAAGUGGGGGAUCUUCGGACCUCAUGCUUUUGGAGCGGCCGAUGUCUGAUUAGCUAGUUGGUAGGGUAAAGGCCUACCAAGGCGACGAUCAGUAGCUGGUCUGAGAGGACGACCAGCCACACUGGGACUGAGACACGGCCCAGACUCCUACGGGAGGCAGCAGUGGGGAAUUUUGGACAAUGGGCGCAAGCCUGAUCCAGCAAUGCCGCGUGAGUGAAGAAGGCCUUCGGGUUGUAAAGCUCUUUUGUCAGGGAAGAAACGGCUGAGGCUAAUACCUUUGGCUAAUGACGGUACCUGAAGAAUAAGCACCGGCUAACUACGUGCCAGCMGCCGCGGUAAUA
rnacentral:rRNA from 1 species